rnacentral:ncRNA from 1 species
UAUUCUCAUGUGGAAGCCAUUUUAAGUACAACCCCAGUACUAGCCCGCCCCAACAAUUAUUUAUGUACCUCGUACAUUAAUGCCAGCCCCCAUGAAUAUUGUACG